UUUCACUAUUCACUCCCAUUAAUGAGAAAGAUGUUGACUAUGACCAUUUUCAAUGCUAAUUUCUUGGAGAUGUCUUUGUUGUCUCUGCUCUGUCUUUAAGAGUGGCUGCUAAAGCCCACAUUUUUCUUCCUCUGUUUCCAGAUCAGAGACUUCCCAGUUGCAGAGAGAGGGAUGUGCCACUUCCCAUGUUGCAUCGGACCACCAUGGUCAGCACUGCUAUCUGUAAGGAAUCUGGAGGCUCCCUUGUACGUGAGGUCUGUGCAGCCCUUUCCAGCAUCAGAAUGUCAAUGCUGCAUUUUGUUCUGCUGAGCUGAAGCACAGUCAAAGCAGCCAGAUGGUGUUCAAAACAGCACCAUCAGAACAACCAAGGGUAAGAAAUGUGCAGAAUUGAACUUGUCUUGACUUGAUUGAUCAAAGUCUGUAAACAGAAGUCUGUAAACAUGAAA
rnacentral:lncRNA from 1 species